rnacentral:misc_RNA from 1 species
GAUGAAGAACGCAGUGAAAUGCGAUACGUAAUGUGAAUUGCAGAAUUCAGUGAAUCAUCGAAUCUUUGAACGCAUAUUGCGCUCUCUGGUAUUCCGGAGAGCAUGCUUGUUUGAGUAUCAGUAAACACCUCAACUCCCCUUUCUUUUUUGAAAUGGGAGCUGGACUUGAGUGAUCCCAACGCUUUUCUCACCGAAAAGUGGCGGGUUACUUGAAAUGCAGGUGCAGCUGGACUUUUCUCUGAGCUAAAAGCAUAUCUAUUUAGUCUGCCUAAAAAACAGAUUAUUACCUUUGCUGCAGCUAACAUAAAGGAGAUUAGUUCUUGUGCUGACUGAUGCAGGAUUCACAGAGACAGCUUCGGCUGGCCUUUGUAAACUCGAUCUCAAAUCAAGUAAGACUACCCGCUGAACUUAAGCAUAUCAAUAAGCGGAGGA